CUUCAACCGACUAGCCUGCUGGCCCCACUUGCCUAGGACGGAUGAGAAGGACCACUGUGAUGUCACCUGUUCGUGAGGGGCAGGCUGGGAGCCAGGGCAAGGGGCCCAUGGGGAGGGAGGAGAAGGCUGGGCUUCACCUCUUUUUCCAUCAGCAGACUCAACCUUCAUCUCAGUCAUAGACUGAGCCAGGGCCUUGGCUCUAAGCUGAUCCCUGAUUUUGCUUACACUCUCAUCUCUGAGCCUGGAUCACACAACCAGAGAGCACUCAGAAUUGGCCCCCUGACUGAGUCCACAUCCAAGUUACAGAUGGAGUUUUAUGCCAGUUUUAGCUCGAGACCCGAGUGCAGUCACACACUGAAUCCUGGCUGCCGCCUCAGACUCACCCAGGAUCCCUAUCACAUUUUGCACCCCGACCCUGGCUGGCUCCCCUCAUGGCUCUACUGAGUCUUUCCGCAUCUGGCAUUGUUCCCAAGAAAGGGCGGGAAUGAGGAUGGACCAGAGACGGGCUGACAAAGACCCCAGACCGUGUGUGCCCAGUGUUUCAGCCUCGCUCCCUCAUGAUAACUCCUUGUGGAAGGUGGGGCCACCAUCCACGCAGAGUGACAGCCUGAGCCCAGCCGGAAGCACCUCCCGGACAACUCAUCGUCACAUGGGACAGCGGGCCCCACACUGCUCCCCCUCCCUCCGACA
rnacentral:lncRNA from 1 species